GACGAACGCUGGCGGCGUGCUUAACACAUGCAAGUCGAACGAAGUGGCGAACGGGUGAGUAACGCGUAAUCAACCUGCCCUUCAGAGGGGGACAACAGUUGGAAACGACUGCUAAUACCGCCUACUGACGGAGGGGAUUGCGUCUGAUUAGCUAGUUGGAGGGGUAACGGCCCACCAAGGCGAUGAUCGGGAGCCGGGCUGGGGGUAGUAACGGCCACAUUGGGACGUUGACACGGGCCAGACUCCUACGGGAGGCAGCAGUGGGGAAUCUUCCGAAAUGGACGAAAGUCUGACGGAGCAACGCCGCGUGAGUGAUGACGGCCUUCGGGUUGUAAAGCUCUGUUAAUCGGGACGCGGUACCGGAAUAGAAAGCCACGGCUAACUACGUGCCAGCCGCCGCGGUAAUUC
rnacentral:rRNA from 1 species